UAACUACAGGGAAACGUUAGAGCUAAUACCGCAUAAUGCAGCGGCUCGACAUCGAGACAGUUGUUAAAGCGGGGGAUCGCAAGACCUCGCGUCUGGAGAGGAGCCUGCGGCGGAUUAGCUUGUUGGUGAGGUAAUGGCUCACCAAGGCAGUGAUCCGUAGCCGGCCUGAGAGGGCGGUCGGCCACACUGACACUGACAUACGGGUCAG
rnacentral:rRNA from 1 species